rnacentral:rRNA from 1 species
UACGGGGGGGGCAAGCGUUGUUCGGAAUUACUGGGCGUAAAGGGCUCGUAGGCGGCCAACUAAGUCAGACGUGAAAUCCCUCGGCUUAACCGGGGAACUGCAUCUGAUACUGGAUGGCUUGAGUUCGGGAGAGGGAUGCGGAAUUCCAGGUGUAGCGGUGAAAUGCGUAGAUAUCUGGAGGAACGCCGGUGGCGAAGGCGGCAUCCUGGACCGGCACUGACGCUGAGGAGCGAAAGCCAGGGGAGCAAACGGG